CUUGCAAUACAUGUUCUGCAUGAACAUUGUCAGCAAGUUACCAUGUAGCUGUUCAAUAAAGUGGACAAAAAUGUGGCCAGAGCUGCACCUGCAGUUUAUGACAAAAGGUUCAGAUUGAAGUUGUUGUUCUGUAAAGGACACAGACCAGAUUAUCCCUGUGUAAGAAGGAUCAGAUGACAGGGUGUUUUUGACAUUGAGGUCAUCUUUACAAUGGACCAGAUCAGCAAUCUGAUGGUUAGCUUCAAUGAACACGAGCAACAGUCAUAGUAUUCUCUAUUCUCUAAUCAUACUGUAUUUGAAAACCAUGAAAAAAUAGAAAAUAAAAAUGGAAACCAUCUGAGAAUGCUGGGUUUUAUGGCUUCUAACUUGGCAUAUUGAAUUCAAGAGUUUCUUUUUUUAAAAGAAGGCACCUGUUUUUUGUCUCAUCACUUCCAUUUUAUCUUCAUUUUGUCACAGUGGAGUAGAGAGAGAAAGAUGUCAGCCAGAUGGAUUUAUUUGCAUUUAUACACUGCAUCAGAUUUUAUGGAAUUCCUUUAUCAGAUUUGACUGAAUUCUUUGUAGAAAGCUCUCACUAUCUGAUAAUGGCAAUACACAGUAUUGUUUGCUUUGAUCAUACAUAGAAUGACACAUGAUACACUGGUAUUUUUAAAAAUGGAACCCUGGUAUUUUGUAUAUAUAGAAAUGUACUUUUAUAUUCUAUAAUUGGCUUUUGCAACUUGUAAAGAAAGCGAUUACAGAGUACUCAGUUGGGGUUGUUGGAUUAGAAUUGGAUGACCAGUAAUAAUACUGGCUAAUUGUAUGACCUAUGGACAUUUACUUGUAUACUAUUAGUAACAGAUGUAAUCAUAUUAUUCUGAAUUGCGUAGUGCAUGGUUAUAUCCAAAGAUGGAAUGUAUAUAAUUAUUGCAUUUCAGCCACAUUAUAUUACCAUAAAAGAUUGUGUUAUGCAACUCAUUCAAUGUAGGAUUAAAUAUUCAUUGUAUGUAUUAUCACUUUACAAAGUCUUUAGAAUAUGCUGUAUAUUAUAUUGUUCUGUGUUUUGACCUACCGUAGGUAGUGGAGCAUUGUUCACAUUUUGUAUUAUCAAAUAUUUCACAGGAAUGUAAGGUGCUAAAUUAUGCUAACUAUAGAAGGCCCCAUCUGGACUUUCACAAAGUAUGAUGUACCCGGUGAGAUUAAACAGAGAACAGGUUAUCAGUUAUAAGUACUUGCUGACUUUAAUGACACAGAUAAUUAUAUUAUUGAUCUGUCUCUCUGAACAGUGGUCAACUUGUUACCAGCUUUUAAUAAGAUGAUAUUGAUUGGCCUGGUGGUCAGCCUUCUGUCUCAAUGAUAUUUGACAGAGUUUAUCAUGAUUAAUGAGGAGAUCUCAUGAUAUGUAGACAAUGAAAUCCUCACUGCCACCUGUGUGUCUGUGGAUGGUGACUUUUAACAACAGAAAUAAGCCACAAGUGUGGCAGGCAUAUCCAGGUCACAUACAGACUUUCCUAUGUAGUUUACAAAAGAAACAAAUUCACAGGGGUGGCUUAUGAUAUUCAGUGAAGCACAGUCACAUGCAAACUUUUCCUAUUUAAAAAGAAGAUGUAAUCAUGAUAGGCUUGUUGUCUGGAGACCUUCUUUUUGACGGUGUUAUUCCGAUUGGGUGAUGUUAUGAUUUACACUUUACACAGGUAGCAUUCACUAAACCUGUGAGACGUCUGGCCCACAGUCAUUCAGUGUGAUUUAAUGUCUUGGAAAAAGUUUUGGCUGAUAUUCACCAAGAAUUAGUUUACACUCACUUAAAAUAGUAUGUAGGUGAAAAAUGCUAAAAUUGUCAUGUGACAACUUCGUUUAUUUUAAAGAAAAGUUAAAUAUAUUUAGGAGUAUGGCAUCACCAUAGCCUUUCAAUGAAUUUUUUUUAUCGUAUCAAUGGUAGGAGAUUUAAACUAAAUUUUGUUCAGUCAAGCUUGAAUAUGUACUAUCUUCACAGGAAGGAAAAGCAAGAUAAUUUUUAUCUGAAAAGCUCUUGAGGUCGGACUUAUUCCUUGUUCCUAUAGUCGUGAAAGUGGAUAAGGUGCAUAAGAUGGGACACAAAUUUUGUCUAUUUCGGGAUGUAUGUUAUAGCGCUGCUUCACAUCAAUGAUGAACCCCAUUAUGCAAAAAUUAUAGGAAGAAAAGGUUGUAUCAUAGACUUGACACCAGUAUUGUGAAUAUCAUAGCUGGUACAAACUUAAAUCUUGGUAUAGACAGAGACAUUGCAGUAUGUAGUCCUUGUCAAAACAAAUGUGUUAGUAAUACUGGGCUUCAAACUAGCAACCUUUUGAUUGUUAGCUUUUACCUUGUGAGCUACUUAGCCACCCUUUCUACUUAGAUCACAUUACCAGAGCAAAUUAUUCAAUAGGUGAUUAUAAUGUCAGUUUAAUAGAUUAUUGAGAUUCUCAUUCAACAGAUGUUUCUUAAAAUUGUCCAAAACAGUUGACAAGUAUUGGAAAUCAAUUUGUAUCUUAUGGUUUUUGUAAAGUGAUACAGCUUAUAAUAUUUCUUUUGUAUCAGUCUUUCUGUAUGUAUUGAUUAACUAUAAUGAUGUCCAAUUUGUUAAGCAUUUUUCCUAUUAAGAUCCCAUAGUCCAGCCACAUGCUAAGAAAUAGCACACUUGUAGCUAUAAUUCACCCUGAAGCACUACUGGAAUCUAACUCCCAGAUAGUAUCAGCUGAUUCCAUGACUAUAUUCUGAAAUAGCUGGAUUAUUUAGUAUUUAUUGAAGCAAUUAAAUCAGCAUGGGGAAUUGAAUGGUGUAUGAGUUUUAAAUGGUUCUAUCCAGUGGUGCAUGUGAACUGUCAAUAUUUACAAGUGUGGUUUGCUCAAUUGUACAGAAAAUGAUUUGUUGGUCUCAAUAGGAGUGCUUAAGGCAUUUCAGUGAUGAUGAUUUAGUACAAUUUAAUGUCAUUUUCCAAUUAAUGUGGACAUGGGAGCUAUAAAGAAGUGAUGAUUAAUGUUUAGGAUACCUGUGUAUCUUGCAAAAAGUCAAUGUAGAUUUAUAAAUUUUUCAAUACUAAGUAGUCAGGCGUUGAAAAUACUUUUAAUAUUGAUUAGAAAUAUGAGAAAAUAUAGUGUAUUCCAGGUGUGUGGUUUCAUUUUAAGCAUACUGUAAUUUCAGUAUUAAAUGCGAUAUCCGCAUUAAGAAUCUAUAGUGCCUGAUAAUGACUGACCUCUUUAAAUACAAAUAUCAGUAGUAUAUAUAUUCCUCAUCCUUUUGAACAUUCUAAUAUGGCCAGAUAGCUCAGUGGGUUAACAUGUGAGGCAAUCAAUUGGUAGGUUGUGGGGAGAGUCUUACAGAAGUUUAAAUUUUUUUUCCAGGUGACUUUUUAUUAAAACUGUAUUUUUUCACUCAACAAGGUAAAUUUGAAAGUUUUCAAUUCCAAAUCAGUGUGGUAUUUCUCUGGUGUGUUAUUAGCUCAAGUGAGGUUUUCUGAUCACCUGUAGUCCCAGACAAUGUUCAUCCAUCUGUUUGUAAAUGUGAUACAUUUUUUACUUCUUCUCUAGAACCAUUGGGUUAAUUUCAACCAAACUUGGUACAGAGCAUCCUUGGGUAAAGGGAAUUCAAAAUUGCUCAAAUGAAGGGUCAUACCCCCUUCCAAGGGGGAGAUAAUCAAGAAAAAAUAGCAUGGGGUCAUUUAAAAAUCUUUUUCAAGAAUCACUGAGCUAGAAAAGAUGAAACUUCUGUGAAAGCUUCCAGACAUAAAUGUAGAUUCUAAAUUAAGGCCUGGCAUUAUAUUGCUAGGAUAAAUAAACAUGACUGAAGAAGACUGGUAACAUGGUUGAAAUAUAUCAAGAAGUGUUCAGAAAACUGAAAGCUCAUUAGUGAGCUAUUCUGAUCAACGGUUGUCCGUCUGUCUGGAAACUUUUCACAUUUUCAUCCUCUCCUUCAGAACUACUAGUCUUGGCUAAUUUCAGUCACACUUGGUACACACUAUCCAUGGGUGAAUUAGGGGAUUCAAGUUUGUUCAAAUGAAGGGUCAUGUCCUUUUCAAAGGGGAGAUAAUCACGAAAAUGCAAAAAUAGGGUUUGGACAUCUUUUCAAGAACCACUGGGCCAGAAAAGUUGAAAUUUACAUGAAAGCUUCCUGACAUAGUGCAAAUUCAAGUUUGUUCAAAUCAAAUAGCCCCUUGGGGUAGGGUGGGGCCACAAUAGGGGAUCAAAGUUUUACAUAGAAAUAUAUAGGGAAAA